rnacentral:rRNA from 1 species
AUUGAACGCUGGCGGCAGGCUUAACACAUGCAAGUCGAGCGGGGUGAUGGUGCUUGCACUAUCACUUAGCGGCGGACGGGUGAGUAAUGCUUAGGAAUCUGCCUAUUAGUGGGGGACAACAUCUCGAAAGGGAUGCUAAUACCGCAUACGUCCUACGGGAGAAAGCAGGGGAUCACUUGUGACCUUGCGCUAAUAGAUGAGCCUAAGUCGGAUUAGCUAGUUGGUGGGGUAAAGGCCUACCAAGGCGACGAUCUGUAGCGGGUCUGAGAGGAUGAUCCGCAACACUGGGACUAAGGCACGGCCCAGACUCCUACGGGAGGCAGCAGUGGGGAAUAUUGGACAAUGGGGGGAACCCUGAUCCAGCCAUGCCGCGUGUGUGAAGAAGGCCUUAUGGUUGUAAAGCACUUUAAGCGAGGAGGAGGCUCUUUUGGUUAAUACCCAAGAUGAGUGGACGUUACUCGCAGAAUAAGCACCGGCUAACUCUGUGCCAGCCGCCGCCGUAA